UAAAUAAAAAUAUUUAGAAAAGAUACAUUUACUUGAUACAUUUUAUUUUCAAUAUGUUGGAAGCAUGCCUCCUUUAUGUUUUGCUCAUCAUUGACUGGAUAGUUUUGUACUAUAUAUCACAUUUUUUUCAGCUUCUAUAUCUGAUACUCAGGCAAUGCAUGUGCAAGAGCUCUCUACAUCUUGAUGAGAUUCUGUAAACAUGGUGACUCAAGCACACUGAGUAUACAGGAGCCACUGCGUAACAUUGAAUGUGUUUCCCAAACAUGGAAGGGGAAAGAAAGAGAAGAAGAGGCAGCCACACCUAAUGGAAAUGAACCAGAUGGUUAUCAAAAGCAUACAGCACUUUCAAGAGGCAGAAAAAGAGAAAAUACAGAAGAGGAUCAGUGGGAGGGAAGAUGGGUGCUAAAGCUGAGCAAGGGAACUGCUUGUUACAAUGGCUUAAACCCAUUUUGGCCGCUGCAAGAUGGAGUGGCACUAAUGAGGUGGUAGCGCACUGAGUAAGGCAUAUGCUUGCCCCCUUCCCCUCUCCUUCCUCCCAUGGUGCUUGUAUAUUUUUAGCCUGUGGGGUUGGAAUAAUGAAUACCCAAGUGAAUGUAGUGUUGGAAGGAGAUUUUUUCUUGGCAAAAUGGCAGCAAGGGCUGCCAAGUAUCUUCUAAAAUGUAAACAAAUCAUCCACCUCCAUCAGGGAAAGAUUACACACAGUAUUCCUGAGUCAGUGUGGGAUUUUCACCUGCUGUGGUUUGCAGUUUGAAUUCUCCCCCAUCAUCACAAGCUUUACCACCUGGUGUGUAUUAAGCACUCCAUUACUCUGAGAAAUCAUUGGUGUUCCAGCUGCUAGAAUCAAAUAAUCAGGCACAAUUUGGGAAAUAAAAAUCUUCUCCCAUUCCACAUAAACAAGUUAGGAGGAUUCUGUGGAAGUGCCACUGA
rnacentral:lncRNA from 1 species